AUUGAACGCUGGCGGCGUGCUUAACACAUGCAAGUCGAUCGGUAACGCGGGGGCAACCCUGGCGACGAGAGGCGGACGGGUGAGGAGCGCUUGGGAAUCUGCCCUUCAGCGGGGGACAACCCGGGGAAACCCGGGCUAAUACCGCAUACGCUCCACGGAGGAAAGCCGGGGACCGCAAGGCCUGGCACUGAAGGAUGAGCCCAAGUCGGAUUAGCUAGUUGGCGGGGUAACGGCCCACCAAGGCGACGAUCCGUAGCUGGUCUGAGAGGACGAUCAGCCACACUGGGACUGAGACACGGCCCAGACUCCUACGGGAGGCAGCAGUGGGGAAUAUUGGACAAUGGGCGAAAGCCUGAUCCAGCGACGCCGCGUGGGUGAAGAAGGCCUGCGGGUUGUAAAGCCCUUUCGGUAGGGACGAAAGCCUCCGACCUAACACGUCGGGGGGUUGACUUAACCUACAAAAGAAGCACCGGCUAACUCUGUGCCAGCAGCCGCGGUAA
rnacentral:rRNA from 1 species